GACAGUCUCCACGUGUCUGCUCUUCCUCUCGGUGGCUCCAGGCUCUGCACCCUGGAGUUUAUGCAUGCAGAGAGAACACCAGCUGCAUUUCCCCAGCAUCAGCUGGAACCUCAGCAACCCGGAGCCCACAUCCUCGGAGUACACCGCCCUGCUGAGGGACACCCAGGACCAGUAACCACACUGGAGUGGACUCCCUGUGUACCUUGCCGCCUUGGCACAGAGACUGGACAGAGUUGCCAUCUAUGAGGAAUUCCUGUGGCUGACCCAGAAUGGUACCCAGCUGCAGAACUUGACCCUGGACAGGAAGAGUGUCCUUGGGGAUGAAUAUUCUGCCAACAGAGAUGACACCUCGACUGAGAAGCCUAGUAAACCUGCAGGAAGCCCCAGCCCAUGGUAGGGGGCGAGUAUCUUGAUGCUGUGCCUCAUCGAAGAGAACCAUGCGCACAGGGUUUUGGAUGAUGAGGAAA